AAACCUCAGAGAGGCCUUCUAUGUAAUGUACUUGAGACCUGGGGGGUGUGUAAAGACAGUUGAGACACUUCGAGUUUGUUUUUGAAGCAAAAAAAAAAAAAGGAAGAGAGAGAGAGAGAAAGAGUCUGAAGUUUCGAAAAUCUGUGUUAUAUCCAAGGCGUAGAGAGUUUGAACUAGCAACCAUUACAAUGCUUAGUACAGAAACUAUCUACUCAGCCAUCGUUAUGUUUGCGGUAGUGGUCAGUGUAUUGGUAA